rnacentral:rRNA from 1 species
CGGGAUGGGAGGAAAGCAGGGGAUCGUAAGACCUUGCGCUUUUGGAGCGGCCGAUGUCUGAUUAGCUAGUUGGUGGGGUAAUGGCCUACCAAAGCUUCGAUCAGUAGCUGGUCUGAGAGGACGGCCAGCCACACUGGGACUGAGACACGGCCCAGACUCCUACGGGAGGCAGCAGUGGGGAAUUUUGGACAAUGGGCGCAAGCCUGAUCCAGCCAUGCCGCGUGAGUGAAGAAGGCCUUCGGGUUGUAAAGCUCUUUCAGCCGGGAAGAAAAGGCUGCGACUAAUAAUCGCAGUUCAUGACGGUACCGGAAGAAGAAGCACCGGCUAACUACGUGCCAGCAGCCGCGGUAAUACGUAGGGUGCGAGCGUUAAUCGGAAUUACUGGGCGUAAAGGGUGCGCAGGCGGUUUUGUAAGUCAGAUGUGA